GACGAACGCUGGCGGCGUGCUUAACACAUGCAAGUCGAACGGCAAGGCCCUGCUUUUGUGGUCUUCUCGAGUGGCGAACGGGUGAGUAACACGUGAGUAACCUGCCCUUCACUUUGUGAUAACUUCAGGAAACUGGGGCUCAUACCGGAUAUGAGCUCCUGCUGCGUGGUGGGGGUUGGAACUUUUCGGCGGUUGGGGAUGGACUCGCGGCUUAUCAGCUUGUUGGUUGAGUAGUGGCGUACCCAGGCUUUGACGGGUAGCCGACAUGAGAGGGGGACCGGGGACAAGGGGACUAAGGGAGGGACCAGACGGGAACGGGAGGCAACAGGGGGAAGCAUGACACAGUGAGCGGGAGCGGGUGGAGAAGACGCCGCGUGCGGAAUGACGGCCUUCGGGUUAUAAACAGCUGUCGCCUGAGACGAAGCGUGAGUGACGGUAAUGAAUAAAGAAGCACCGGCUAACUACGUG
rnacentral:rRNA from 1 species